UACGUAGGGUGCGAGCGUUGUCCGGAAUUAUUGGGCGUAAAGAGCUUGUAGGCGGUUUGUCGCGUCUGCUGUGAAAAUCCGGGGCUCAACCCCGGACUUGCAGUGGGUACGGGCAGACUAGAGUGUGGUAGGGGAGACUGGAAUUCCUGGUGUAGCGGUGAAAUGCGCAGAUAUCAGGAGGAACACCGAUGGCGAAGGCAGGUCUCUGGGCCACUACUGACGCUGAGAAGCG
rnacentral:rRNA from 1 species